GCAAAGUGGGGGCGGGGAGCGGGGGGAAUGUGUAGGGUGGGGGUGGGUUCCGGAAUGUGUGGGCGGAAAGGGCUCGUAGGGGGUGUGUGAAGUCGGGAGUGAAAACUCCGGGCUCGACCCUGAGCCUGCUUCCGAUACGGGCAGACUAGAGGUAUGAAGGGGAGAACGGAAUGCCUGGUGUAGCGGUGAAAUGCGCAGAUAUCAGGAGGAACACUGGUGGCGAAGGCGGUUCUCUGGGCAUUACCUGACGCUGAGGAGCGAAAGUGUGGGGAGCGAACAGGAUUAGAUACCCUUGUAGUC
rnacentral:rRNA from 1 species